GGUUUUAUAUUCAAUUAUGAUUUUAGACUGCAAUUCUAAAGCUGUAAAUAUUACUAAGGCCU
rnacentral:tRNA from 1 species